AUCUGCAAGGGCCGGCGGCGCGGCGGCGCGGGCUGACGGACGGCAGCGCGUAGCCAGUUGAGCAGAUCAGGGCGUGCUUCUCCCUCCCUCUCCCCUCUCCAACCGGCGGCAAAGCGACCAACCGAGCAGCGCAAGGUAAACCCGGAGAUCCCAAUUCCGUCCGUGCCCAGCGAUGCCCUGAGACGUCAUCUCCGGCACCCUCUCCAUCUCCGGCUGCUUCGCACUGCUGAAGAUAAUGUCAUGUUCACUUCAAAUGAUGAAGCACAUUUUUCUUUCAAUGGCACAAGAUUCAGUUCAAAUUUUCAUUCACUAUUGACUGCGCAAGAGGAUCUCAAUCACGAGACGAUGAAGAUCCCGAUCAGCAAGAUCACAUUAGGAGGCGAUGAUGAUCAUGCUCAGGAGGCGAUGAGGAAGAUCGCCUGAGUUGCGAGCAGCAGGUUGGAGGCGAUGAGGAUCUUGACCUCCUGCUCUCGACGGCGGGGCGGGACGGGACGGCUGAGCAGCGGUGAGGUGGGGCCAGCAGUAGUACCAUGUUCCGUGUUUGCCCGUCGCCAGCUAUGAGGAAUUGAACAGAACAUGCAAUUGUAUAGUACACGUGCGGGUGUGUGUGUGAUGAUGACGUGUUCGAAUUUACAGUAUUUUAAGAAAAAUAGAAGUGUAAUUUUGUACGCCGAUGAAUUUAUCUAAAAGCAGAACAUUAAUUCA